AUUGAACGCUGGCGGCAGGCCUAACACAUGCAAGUCGAGCGGAUGAAGGGAGCUUGCUCCUGGAUUCAGCGGCGGACGGGUGAGUAAUACCUAGGAAUCUGCCUGGUAGUGGGGGAUAACGUCCGGAAACGGGCGCUAAUACCGCAUACGUCCUGAGGGAGAAAGUGGGGGAUCUUCGGACCUCACGCUAUCAGAUGAGCCUAGGUCGGAUUAGCUAGUUGGUGGGGUAAAGGCCUACCAAGGCGACGAUCCGUAACUGGUCUGAGAGGAUGAUCAGUCACACUGGAACUGAGACACGGUCCAGACUCCUACGGGAGGCAGCAGUGGGGAAUAUUGGACAAAGGGCGAAAGCCUGAUCCAGCCAUGCCGCGUGUGUGAAGAAGGUCUUCGGAUUGUAAAGCACUUUAAGUUGGGAGGAAGGGCAGUAAGUUAAUACCUUGCUGUUUUGACGUUACCAACAGAAUAAGCACCGGCUAACUUCGUG
rnacentral:rRNA from 1 species